rnacentral:rRNA from 1 species
AUCGAACGCUAGCGGGAUGCUUUACACAUGCAAGUCGAACGGCAGCGCGGACUUCGGUCUGGCGGCGAGUGGCGAACGGGUGAGUAAUGUAUCGGAACGUGCCCAGUAGCGGGGGAUAACUACGCGAAAGCGUAGCUAAUACCGCAUACGCCCUACGCGGGAAAGCAGGGGAUCGUAAGACCUUGCACUAUUGGAGCGGUCGAUAUCGGAUUAGCUAGUUGGUGGGGUAACGGCUCACCAAGGCGACGAUCCGUAGCUGGUUUGAGAGGACGACCAGCCACACUGGAACUGAGAAACGGCCAAGACUCCAAGGGAGGGCACCGUAGGGGAAUUUUGGACAAUGGGGGCAGUCCGGAUCCAGCCAUCCCGCGGGUGCGAUGAAGUCCUUCGGGUCGAAAAGCAUGUUUGGCAGGAAAGAAACGUCGCGGGCUAAUACCCCGUGGAUCUGACGGUACCUGCAGAAUAAGCACCGGCUAACUACGUG